rnacentral:rRNA from 1 species
AUUGAACGCUGGCGGCAUGCUUUACACAUGCAAGUCGAACGGCAGCACGGACUUCGGUCUGGUGGCGAGUGGCGAACGGGUGAGUAAUACAUCGGAACGUACCCAGUAAUGGGGGAUAACUAUCCGAAAGGAUAGCUAAUACCGCAUACGCCCUACGGGGGAAAGAGGGGGAUCGCAAUACCUCUUGUUAUUGGAGCGGCCGAUGGCUGAUUAGCUAGUUGGUGGGGUAAAGGCCUACCAAGGCAACGAUCAGUAGCGGGUCUUAGAGGACGAUCCGCCACACUGGAACUGAGAAACGGUCCAGACUCCUACGGGAGGCAGCAGUGGGGAAUCUUGGACAAUGGGCGCAAGCCUGAUACAGCAAUGCCGCGUGCGUGAAGAAGGCCUUCGGGUUGUAAAGCGCUUUUGUCAGGGAGCAAAUCCUUGUGGCUAAUACCCACCGGGGAUGAGAGUACCUGAAGAAUAAGGACCGGCUAACUACGUGCCAGCCGCCGCGGUAAAAC